AUGCAGGUUGACAAUUUCGGCACUGUGAACCUUGUUGAAGCAUGCAGCAAAGUCAAUGUUAACAGAUUAAUUCUUAUAAGUUCCAUUUUAGUCAAUGGAGCAGCUAUGGGACAGCUACUCAAUCCAGCUUACAUUUUUCUCAAUGUUUUCGGCCUCACCUUAGUAGCAAAAUUACAGGCAGAAAAUCAUAUCAGGAAAUCUGGUAUAAAUUACACAAUAAUAAGGCCAGGAGGGUUGAAAAAUGAUCCUCCUACCGGAAAUGUUGUUAUGGAGCCAGAGGUAUUGCUUGCUUAA